rnacentral:rRNA from 1 species
AGUGAACGCUGGCGGUAGGCCCAACACAUGCAAGUCGAACGGCAGCACAGGAGAGCUUGCUCUCUGGGUGGCGAGUGGCGGACGGGUGAGGAAUACAUCGGAAUCUACUUUUUCGUGGGGGAUAACGUAGGGAAACUUACGCUAAUACCGCAUACGACCUACGGGUGAAAGCAGGGGAUCUUCGGACCUUGCGCGAUUGAAUGAGCCGAUGUCGGAUUAGCUAGUUGGCGGGGUAAAGGCCCACCAAGGCGACGAUCCGUAGCUGGUCUGAGAAGAUGAUCAGCCACACUGGAACUGAGACACGGUCCAGCCUCCUACGGGAGGCAGCAUUGGGGAAUAUUGGACAAUGGGCGCAAGCCUGAUCCAGCCAUACCGCGUGGGUGAAGAAGGCCUUCGGGUUGUAAAGCCCUUUUGUUGGGAAAGAAAUCCAGCUGGCUAAUACCCGGUUGGGAUGACGGUACCCAAAGAAUAAGCACCGGCUAACUUCGUGCCAGCCGCCGCCGUAA